CCUACGGGAGGCAGCAGUGAGGAAUAUUGGUCAAUGGCCGGAAGUCUGAACCAGCCAAGCCGCGUGAGGGAGGAAGGCGCUGUGCGUUGUAGACUUCUUUUGUCGGGGGAUAAAACGCCGGACUCGUCUGCUCCUGAGCGUACUCUGCGAAUAAGCAUCGGCUAACUCCGUGCCAGCAGCCGCGGUAAUACGGAGGAUCCGAGCGUUAUCCGGAUUUAUUGGGUUUAAAGGGUGCGCAGGCGGGUCUUUAAGUCGGCGGUGAAAUCGCCGAGGUUAACCCCGGAGGUGCCUCGGAUACUGGGGGCCUAGAGAGCAGCUGAGGCAGGCGGAAUGCACGGUGUAGCGGUGAAAUGCGUAGAGAUCACACAGAACACCGAUUGCGAAGGCAGCGUGCCAUGCCGCAACUGACGCUGAGGCACGAAAGCGUGGGGAGCAAACAGGAUUAGAUACCCCUGUAGUC
rnacentral:rRNA from 1 species